rnacentral:rRNA from 1 species
UUCAUGGAGAGUUUGAUCCUGGCUCAGGACGAACGCUGGCGGCGUGCCUAAUACAUGCAAGUCGAGCGGACAGAUGGGAGCUUGCUCCCUGAUGUUAGCGGCGGACGGGUGAGUAACACGUGGGUAACCUGCCUGUAAGACUGGGAUAACUCCGGGAAACCGGGGCUAAUACCGGAUGCUUGUUUGAACCGCAUGGUUCAAACAUAAAAGGUGGCUUCGGCUACCACUUACAGAUGGACCCGCGGCGCAUUAGCUAGUUGGUGAGGUAACGGCUCACCAAGGCA